rnacentral:rRNA from 1 species
GUGGGGAAUCUUAGACAAUGGGCGCAAGCCUGAUCUAGCCAUGCCGCGUGAGCGAUGAAGGCCUUAGGGUUGUAAAGCUCUUUCGUGGGGGAAGAUAAUGACUGUACCCCAAGAAGAAGCCCCGGCUAACUCCGUGCCAGCAGCCGCGGUAAUACGGAGGGGGCUAGCGUUGUUCGGAAUUACUGGGCGUAAAGCGCGCGUAGGCGGACCAGAAAGUUGGAGGUGAAAUCCCAGGGCUCAACCUUGGAACUGCCUUCAAAACUCCUGGUCUGGAGUUCGAGAGAGGUGAGUGGAAUUCCGAGUGUAGAGGUGAAAUUCGUAGAUAUUCGGAGGAACACCAGUGGCGAAGGCGGCUCACUGGCUCGAUACUGACGCUGAGGUGCGAAAGCGUGGGGAGCAAACAGGAUUAGAUACCCGAGUAGUCC